UACGUAGGGGGCAAGCGUUGUCCGGAAUCAUUGGGCGUAAAGGGCGCGUAGGCGGCGUGGUAAGUCAGCUGUGAAAUCUCCGAGCUUAACUCGGAACGGUCAGCUGAUACUGCUGUGCUAGAGUACAGAAAGGGCAAUCGGAAUUCUUGGUGUAGCGGUGAAAUGCGCAGAUAUCAGGAGGAACACCGGUGGCGAAGGCGGUUCUCUGGGCAUGACCUGACGCUGAGGAGCGAAAGUGUGGGGAGCGAACAGG
rnacentral:rRNA from 1 species